AGUGUUUAUAUUUCCCCCUUUUUCUGAAUAAAGUUACAAAAUCACCAGAAUAAAGUUUAGUACUGAAAAUCUGUGUAGGGAACUGUAAUCUGACAAGGUAGAAUGAGAUCACCGUUCUGUGCAGAGCUCUGCUUGUACAGAAAAACAAAAUGAUUUUUACUGAUCUGGAACCACACGAUCAUUUCUGAGUCAUUAUUUUUAUGCUUAGCUGUUAUGUGAAGUGAAUCCACCUCUCUCCUUUGGUAGUCAUUUUAAAUGAUGCACUGAAUACUUCAGCAAAUGCAAUGACUCGUAUCUUUAAAUACUUUACGAGCAUACAGCAGGAUACUUAGAAAGACAUCUUAAAAAGCUAAGAAGUUAAGACCAGUAUAUCGUACACAAAUUAAGUUCUUUUUCCCCUGUAACAGCUCCCAAGCAACAUUUAUUACCUGUGUCCAUGACAUACAUUUUUAGAUGCCAGCUCUUCUAACCAGGCAAUCUAUUUCACAAGCUUUCUAAAGCAGUGUCGUAGCCAUUACAUCAAAUGUUGUUUCACAGAUGGUUAUCAACACUUGGUGUUUCACAGAUGGGAUAGAAGACCCAACACCUGAAUUAAAAAACCCCACCAACACAGUAACGUGCAUUUAAAGAUACCCCCUUAGAAAGUGGCUCUCAAUCUGCAGACUCUUGAGGUUUUAUGAACAAUUUUUAAGUGGGCUGCAAAAUAGUAAUUGAAAAAACGAGGCAUGCUGUCAGAAGGCUGACAGUAUCAGCAGUAGCUGCACUCACCCACUGGAUUUCUUUCUUUUUAAGAAGGUCCUGGAUCACAAAGAAUUGUGAAUUAGAAGAGAUUAGGCUCUAGAAAUCCCGAACUGUUGUGCUUCUUGGUAAGACAAACAUUAUCAAAAAACUGUAUUUCACCACAUAGAAAAAAAAACCUGUCACAUUCUAACGAAUAGGGGGGAAAAAGAAUGAAAGAACUCCUCUUUGACGAGCAGAUUUCUAAUGAUGGGAUACAUCCCACUUGGAGAAGAUGCAAACGAAGAGGCGAAGCAGAGGCAUUAUUUUGCUCCCAGCGCCCACUUCUCACCUGGCUGUACCUACAUUGCAGAAUCCCAUAGAAAGAACAGUAAGAAGAGAGGCUUCCAAUGGGAGGGGUUUGAGGGGCCUUCUGUACUUGUGUGUGUAUCCUUGUUUCUGGAGUAAGCAGGAAAGUAAGGUUUCCAGUUCACAAUCAGACAAGAAGCUGGGAUUCCAGAAGACACAGGAGAGAACAGACAGGGAAAGUGUGCAGUGAGGAUGUGGCAGAGCUAUAGCCACGUUUGGGGUACUGACUUCCAGCUGACCCCAAUGCAUUUAUCCAGCUGUGACCUCUCCAGCUCCUACAGGAAUCCUGUUCUGACCUCUGCCCCUAAAUCUUUACUCCCAUUCACUGAUCUUCAGUUCUACCCAUAUACCCCAUCACUGCUUCUAUACCCACAUGCCUUGCUUAUAAGCAUAUUAAUCCCUCUCUCCUAUCACCCCCAGAUGACACUGGUAAAUAGGUUUUUUUCCACACUACAGUGCUAGAAAAGCACUCUCCUCCCUUGUAUAUUUCUUUCUGAUACAAAAAGAUUUCCUCCUGACCUCAUACCCAGCUUAGCCCUGUGCAUGUGAACAAGACAAACCAACCAUACGCACUGUACAUAUUAGAACACUGAAAAGUGACUGCAGAAUCCUAUCAGUUAGCAAGGGGCAUUUAGUAAUAAUAAUAUAAUAACAAUAAUAUAAAAGCAUUCACAAAACUCAUUUCCUAUAUGUAUCAAAAAAACAGGAAUAAGAGAGAUGCGACAAAAAAAGGGUUACACAGAGCAUGCUGGCCUACUUUAAUUCCCUUAGAACACCGUUACUGUAACUGCUGUUGCCAGUAGUAUUUUGCUUACCUUUCAUAUAAUACGUAUGCUACAAUCUAACUUUAGGUAAGACAAUAGACUUCUUCAGGAUAAACACAUUUAUACCAUUUGAAUGAGGUUUAUAGUUUGGCAUUUCUCCACUUCAGCACCACCGUGACUGCUAAAAAGCUGUGCAGUAUGUUGGAAAAGAUAUAAUGUCUGCAAAUUAUUUAUGGAUGUGCUUGUGUGGUAUUUAUGACAACAGAAAGUAACCUACGCUGGGGCAACUGAAAGCAUAGCUAAUACAAAUACAUUACGAUUCUGGAAAAUUGUCAGUAUGGAUGAUAUUAAUAAUAAUAAUAGGAGGCUUGAUAGGAGGAAAAGGAAGGUUUUUACAAUGUAAAAUUACCAUCCGGGGAGCUUAUGUAAACUAAAGAGCGUGGUCAAAUAGGAGUGGAUUUUUUUAGAGUAAUAAACUGAUCCUGUGCUAAGACAUGCUAAUACUCGUAAGAAAAGUCUGCAUCUACUAAUGUUGCUAGAAAGUCAGAUAAGCAUUCAAAGAUGUACAUAUGUUUUCAUUUGAUUAAGAUGAGAAGUCUAAUCUUUGUGCUAUGGGGACCCAAUCCUCACUUCUCAGGCCACUAAAUCCACUAUUCAUGAGCGCAGAUGGAAAGGAAGAGGAGCAAAGACUAUUAGCGGUGCUCAGGACAAGGCAACAAUUAAAAAAGCAGCCGUUCUGUUACUAGAUCCUGGGAAGGACGUGGUGGGGACAGAAGGGUUGCUGCUACCAGCUUGAUCUUCCUGGCUCCCUCUGGGAAUCUCUUGCUGCUGCUUCAGGCUGGACGUUAGGAAAUACUACUUCUCUGAAAGGGUGGUCAGGCACUGGAAUGGGCUGCCCAGAGAGGUGGUGGAGUCACCGAGCCUGGUGGUGUUCAAAGAGCGUUUGGAUGUUGUGUUGAGGGACAUGGUUUAGCGAGAACCAUUGGUGAAGGGCGAAUGGUUGGACUGGAUGAUCCUCUGGGUCUUUUCCAACCUUGGUGAUUCUAUGAUUCUAUGCUUCUCCGGCAGAGGCAUGUGGCCUAUCUAAUGUUGAAAAAGCAGGCAGUGCUCUCUGCCUUUUCAUACACAGCAGAAGAGCAGAGCCCAAAUUUCUGGAGCAAUAGAUUGCUGUCAGCCCUUAACAUUUUUCACAAAACAGCACACUCCCACCUGAUUAAACUUUUAAUUGAAGGCGCUAUUUAAAGCACCAUUAGAUAUGGUUUAGCCCAAAGGCUGUUCAACUUACCAUAGCCCUGUAGCCCAUUAGGGCUUAGUGGACCACGGCUUGAAAACCAUUCCUGCCACGUCAGAAAUACGAUGAUGUUCCCUGCUCCCUCCCUCCCUCCUGACCUUCUGGUUGCUGUGUUAAACGUUACUGCUCCUCUAUCUGAUUUCCCCUGAGACUGAUUUUAGGACCUGCUAUUUGCUUCUGGCUUUCUGAAGUAGCAGCAAACUGGCAUUCUCCUUCGCCCAUACAUUUGUAAACAGGAGAAGUAAGGCCAGUAUGACCAUAACAUUACUACUGCCAGACAAAGGAAUAGACAGAAGCAUAGUUUAGAUAUCAAUAAAUAUAUGUAUAUCUUUCAGGUUUAGGAAAAAGGGACCAAUUUACAUUUGAUUCAUAUUUGAAAAUUUAUCAUCAGACAACAAGGCCUACGAGCUUUUAUUUACAGAAAAGCUGUAAUUCUACACAGGUUGGGUUUUGGCCACGGCUGGUCCAGGACAAACAGAUGUGCAGUUUUGUGCCACAGAACUAUGGCAGAUGAAACUGGUAUCUUCUGCUAUCAUAAAGGUCACCUAAGAUACAGAAAACAGUGACCAAGGGCUCCUUGUUAUUCUAUUCUAAGAAAUAAAGAGUUAGAGUCUCCUAUUAAAUGCUUCCACAUAUUCGUGGUUUUAGAGAUCUUUCUCAUGUUAUUACUCCUCAGCCAGCAUUUUUCCAAAAUGAAGAAUCCUGAUUCAGUUACUGUCCCUGCACAAUAGCUGUGCCAUAUCUUCAUCAUCCGUGUCUGUUUUUUAUAUAAUUCUCAUCAGUGCUCAAAACUGACUGGUAUGCCAGCAUGACUCCUUUGUUUCAAGUACCAUAUUGCAUCAAAUCCAUCCGGAAUGAUUUCAAGAAAUCAGCAAGAGCUGCUAAAAAUCCACACAAGCAUUAGGAAAAGGCUUGAGAACCCAGGCUUUUCACAGCAGCCAGACAGCAGCCAUCAGCUUAACAAUUAAACUUCACCUCUGUGACAGGCAGGAAUGCCAGGAUCAAAGUCUGUAUUUCAAGCUCACCUAAGGCUGUGAAACCCUAAGAAAUAGGGAAGUAGAACUUCCAAGUUGCAGCUCCUGUUAGAACAGCUGCAAGUCCAUGCCUUUCUGAGCAGCAGGCCUGGCUGCAGCCUGCAGAGCUGACUGAUGAUGAGGUAAUGACCCUCUCUGCUGACAGGUCUGGUUUAACAGUGGGUCAGUCAUACCUGGCCUCUGGGACAGCCGUGGCUCCUGCAGCACCACAGCCCGUGCUGUGAGAUCCUUCUGCAACUCUUCAGGGCCAACGUCAGCUCUGACUCCAAAUGCACAGUAGCCUUUUAUCAUCUCUAAGCAUUAUCACUGCACUUUUUCAUACCAUUUAGGAACAGGUGGACCAGAAAAGGUGCCAGUACAAAUUGCUGGGAGGUGGUGUCAUUAAAGCCACCUACUAGUUGCUAUAGUCUUCUUUAUCUUGUAUCCGUUUAUUAAUCCACAAGGAAUCUUACGUAUCUCAACACUUCACUGUGUUAACAUUCUUUGGUGAUAGACCUUUUUAAAAGCUUUUUGGGUGACCCAUUCCCAUGUGUCUGUUUACUGCUUCAAACAAUAAGCGAAGCCGUAAGACAAAACUACCCUGUACAGAAAGUCAAGGUGAUGGUUGCCUAUUACAGCCACACGUGUUCCUAUUAAUUAUAUUCUUUAUCACAUUCACUGGCAUUUUGCCUGCCAUGGAAGUCAGACUUAUUAGUACAUUAGUCCACGAUCGUCCCUAGAGACCUUUUUAACAUGGUCACAUUUGCUGCUUUCCAUUCCUCUGUCAUCAACACCAAUUUAAAUGAUAGAUAAUACAACACAGUUCACACAUAACCAGUUUUAUUUCUGAAUUUCUCUGCAACUACCGAAAGAACAUCGUGCUAUCUGGCAAUCUGCUAAUGCCCAUUUAAUCAAGUUGUUCAAAAAUCUUUUAUUGAUAUUUAAAAAUUGAAAUACUUCUUAUAAAGAACAACUUUUAUAUGGGACUGUACCUAAUCUCCCUGGAAUAAACUCUGCCAAUGCAAGGGUUUGUCCAUAUGUUUCCUUCUGCAGUGGCUUUGCCUUUAAAUAUUCUGUCUCUGGAACUUGGUGUCCUGCUAGCAGAAUUAACUGAAAAGUUUACACUUAUAGAUUUUUCUUUUUGCUUUUAUGAUUUUAGCCUAUUGCUCCUCAAAAUCUUUUUGUCCCUCCUUAGAAUAGGUCUACAUUUAACUUCCCAGAACUGUGCUCUUCUCCUCUUUGCUUGUUUGGAUUUCACUUUUUGAAAAACAUCUAUUUGUUCCUCGUAACUUCCCUUACUGCUCAGUUGUCAUGAAUUCUUAUUCACUUGGGUCAGAAUUAGAAAACAAACACUCUGUGUCUCUCUUAGCCUCUUACAAUUUUUACUUGAACGAUUUCUUCAUUUGUAUGCAGUUCUUUUUUACAGUUAAACAAUACUGGAUUGUUUAUUUAUUUUUAUCUUUUUCUCUCAUGCAAAUACGACAAACUUCAGUUUGAUAUGAUGUACCACUACCAAAUGUCUUUCCUAUAGUUACUCUGUCAACCAAAUCCUGGUUACUAAUCUAAACGAACUCAAGAGCUGUCCUCGUUCUACUGGAUUCUCUGGAUAGUUUGCUCAAAAGUUAGUUCUUGAUGGUAGUUAAAAACACAGCUUAUGCAUGAUGCCCUAAUGUUAAGCUUAUCCAGACCAUAGUUUGAAAACUGAAAACUCUUGUUACUAUCGAGCUUCUCAGUUGUAUAGCCUCUCUGGCCUCCUGCUGUAUUUCACGGUCACUGUGUCCACUCUGUCAGCUCAUUCAGAGCUCUUGCCAGGCUUCUCCUGCUCAGAUAUGGAACCACUUGUAAUUAUAUUUUGUGGUUUAGUCUGAUAAAUUUAACUUAUUUGACUAGUUAGCAUAUAGAGACCAACAGACCAAUCUAUCAUUUCUCUAUCAGCAAGGCACUAACAUUUCAUCAUCUCUGUUAUCAUCUAAACGCUGAUAUUUUGGUGUCACUUUGAAAGAAGGAAAAGGGACACAUGCAGACCCACUUCCAGAAAGAGAGCAACAUACCUGAGGAAUUCCUGUUGCGAUUCACGCUUACCACUCUUCUGAAGAAUCAUUAUCUUCAAGGUACCAGGGAAACAGAGCAGUAUCAGGUAGCAAUGUACCUUGAUACCGAAUCAAAACUAGUGCAGGUUCCUUCUCAACAGAGAACCAAGUGGCAUUUGACAAGGACUGACCAACAGAAUGGCCUGUGGUUAUUCAAGAUUUCUGUACCAAGAGAUGCUGUGUCAGGAAGGGAAGGCACUAAGUAGCAGAAUGACACUAUGGAAGUAAAUGAAGUCCUUUAAUCUCUUGUAUACACUGAGGAUUCGUAAUACUCACAUUAACUUCCUCUGAGGAGGGAGAGUCUGCUGUUACUGCUGUGGAGAAGAUAAAGAGGGAUGCUUUCUGGACACAAUGCCAGUAGCUAUUGACUUGGGUUCGACAGCUGAGAAGACCUCUGGGGUGCUAGCAUUUUCUGUGUUGGCUGAAACUCACUUCUCUCCCUUUUGUGAGGCCCCUAUUUGGAGCACCUUAUUUCUGCAUUAAGUAUGAUGCAAGUCAGGGCUCAGCAGAAUCCAGAGGCUACACUGCAGUAUCCAACAAGUGUUCAUUAUUAUUUAUUUGCAUUACCACAAAUCCUAGAAGGCUACACCCUGGACCACUUCUCGUUAUGCUGGGCCAUGAAUAAGCAUACAACAAAAAGUCCACAUGAAUUCUACGUGAAGAGACAACAGAGAUUACUGCAGAGUACAAAGGCAAUGACAAAGUAUUACUAUGACAAGCAUCGGUAUUAGUAUACUUGUACAACAUACUUAUUUUCUAGUUGGAUUGUCAUAAGCUUCACAGUACAUAAAACUUUUAAGAAGAUAUUAAAGGGAGACAGCAAACAGUUCUGUUUAUGAAGGAGUCAGCUACUACACGAGAGGCAGCUGAGGAGAAAGUAUCCAGUGUGAAAAUAUAACAACUGAAUGAUGGAAGCUGGCAUCAUAUGUUGAUCAAAAUCAGAGUCAACCUCUUGAUACUGAAGGAAAGGUAUCAGGUAGAAGUAGUCUUGAUGGGCCUUGAAAACAAAGACAGAUAGCUUAUCUUUAUUGCUUUCAAUUGAAGGAGGAAGUUUAAAAAGCCAAAGGAGUAAAUCUGGAAACUGAUAUUUACAGCAGCACUUGGAACGCAUAAUGACAAGACUACAUUUGUCAAGGCAAAAGAAGAAGAUUUUCUAAUAACGAUAUGAUCCAUGGAAAACCUGGAUGAAAAAUACAAGCAACCAACAGAGAAGAAAGAGCAUCCCUGAAGGAUUGGAAAAAGAUUUCCAAAAACUAAGAUUUAGCCUAGGUUUGAUGACUUAAAGCAAACAACAGCAUGAUGGUGUCAUUCACCGAGGAUGCAGAGAGGUUUUGUGAGGACCCCAACCAAAAAUAUGAAAAAAUUGCUAACAAAAGUUGUAACUGGAAAUAAAGAACUGAGGACAACGCUGAAGAAAAUUUUCAUGCAUUAGAUCUGCUUAGGAGUAGAAAAGAAGAUGGGAGGAGGUAUAUGAAGUGACACAUAAAACACUGUUCUUCCUGUACUAUGAAAUAAGAAAAUUCUUUCACGCCACAUUUAUUACUGGGUUAUUACAGCUACCUGAGCUACCAUGUUUUGACUUUCAAGGACUGAAGAAGAAGAAUGUUCAUGACACUGUAAUUUGAUGGGUGCCUCAUUCAGCAAACAAAAACAUGCUACAUCCAGCUCAAAGACAGGACAUUGGUGAUACAAGCCAAGCGCAAACAGCAGUGGAGAAAAAGAUCUUACAGCUUAAAGUUAAAACAACUAACAUGCUGAACAUUCAGGCACAUUCCUUUCCUCUUCCUCCUUAUUGUACAGAACCAAGGCUAUCAUUUCAGCUUGCCACUGAAGGAAAAUUACUCUCCUUUGCUCUAGUUUGGUAUUUCCAGCCCUUGAAGUAUUCCCAAACCUACAUAAAGUGUGCCCAUGUAGCAAAUGCCCACACCCUAAAUUCCACAAACAUCAACAAGAUCUCUUCGUGUCUGCUUUCUUGCUGUUUCCUAGUUUUAGUCAUUUACAACAGCACAGAAUGGGUUGAACUAAAGGAACAAGCAGAUCAGGUGCUCAACCACACGGGUUAGCAGCCGUGAGUACUGGAGACAUACAGCAGGAGACAAUUCAGAGUUCCUUUUCUUCCAAACAGUGUUUUGUAGCAGCAUUACCUCAGGCAGAAUAGAGCUGUGCCCCUACAUUCUUUCUCUCAAAGCACAGGGAAGUUGCUCUCUCAGGAAGGAGAUGCAGUCAGAUGUGUAUGAGCUGCCCUCCGUAGAGAUGACUGAAAAACUUGGAGACAUAUGAAACAUCCAGGGGCCUCCUCAUACCCCACUGACUAAUAUAUCACCUUGCUUCUUUAUCUCUUCUGAAACCAGAUCUUUUCUGAGGCACUUUUUUUUUUCAAUCUGGUGUGGAGAGGGAACAUAGGAGGCUGGGUUUGGUUGCUGUGCAAUCACCUGAUCUCUCUCUCCUUUUCUUUCCUUUGCACAACUUAGGGGAAGUAAGAAUAAAUAUGGCAUAUAGAACUAAAAGAUGAAAAUAGUCAACUAUUAGAACUGUGCUUUUUAAACAAACAAACAAAAAAAAUAUCAUUCAAGAUUUUAGAUGCAAAGUGAAAUAUUCAGUGUUCUCAUUAUUCAGGAGAAACAUUCAAUGUUCUCAAACUAUGGUUUCAUCUCAUAUUAAAAAAUAACUCCAUUUCAUUUUUGUGUUCAGAAAUUAUAAAAGAAGCACCGUAACAUCCCGUAACCAAAAUAAUCCCAUUGGGUUUUGAGCUCUCUUUGAGAUGUUCAAAUUUAAAAUAGUUAAGUUAUGAGUUUGAACAAGAAGCUCUUUCUUCUGCUUAGCACUAGCCACAUUUUAGCAUAUGUAGACCAUUGACCUCUGUUCUUAGUUGCAGUUGUCAUCUCAAAUACUCUGUUUAUACAGGUAAUUCACAGUCACUAACUCUCCAAAGCCCACACGACCCCUCCAAAAAAACUGCAGAGAACUGUAGAGAAAGACAUUUCCUGGAAGUUUUAAAUUAAAUAGAUAGGUAAAUCAACCAGAUAUUUGAUGAAAUGAAAGGUACCAGUAGCUACACAUUCAGUUCUCCUUCUGGGCAUAUUUUUGCCAUAUAUUCUUCUGUUUAGUUCCUUGUUUCUUUUUGAGUUUUAUUUUGUUUGUUUGUUCAUUUGUUUGUUAAUUGGACUCUCAAGUCUGCUUUUGAUCUGGUUAUGAUCUCUUCUUUGGUCUUGCUCUUUCUUCAAAUUCAUUUCACGUUACUUUUGUGCCAAGCAAAAAAAUAAUUCUACAAUCUCUUUUUCUUUACUCCCCAAUCACUGUCUGCAUCUUUGCUCUACAUGAAGGAAUAUCUAAUUGGCCAUGCCUACAAAUCCUCUACAGCUUUACACUUCCUUAAUAAUUACUCACAGAUUCAAUACCAAUUCUAGUUCUUCCAUCUUCCAGAUACAAGAUUGCCUUCAGAACAUUUUUGUACUUGAACACCAGAAAGGAAAUACACCAUCAUAAAAAAAGGGCAUGGAGUUUAUAAAGCCAUUAGCGUUACACAGGUAAAACACCUACACAUAAUUUUUGCUCUCUUGGAUAUAAAAAUAGGAAUCAUAGCAAUGCCUGUACCCAUAGAUACAAGCAAAAAACUUCCUCUUCAAUACAAGUAUAUUUAUAGUUAUUUUGGGUGAAUCCACUGACAAAGGGUAUGGAUAAUUAUUACCGAUUAAGCACAGGGUACUUAGUUAAAAUAAAAUAUACAGUUCUUGCCUAAGAAGCCUAUAAUUAAUCAGCAUGUGUGAUCAAAUUGCCACUCAUAACGUCAGAUCAGUUUAGUUUAAUUUAACCAAGUUACUUUGACAUGAGCAUAAGUAUAUAUUUAUUAACAUUUCAACGUUCAACUCAGCAAGACAAUUAUGUUAGUAAAUCUGCUUGCAGUAGCUACACAAAUAUUGGAGGCAUAAACGGUUUUUAUAGAUCUAUAAAUUUGGAAAAUUUUAUGGGUGAAGAUAGAGAGCAGCUCAGAAACACACUCUUCUGAAAGCAAAGGAAAUAAACAAAUGAAAACUCCCUACCUAACAGCAGUGCUGAAGGACUCCAGGUUCACGUGGUGAAUUAUCCAAGAAUAAUGAUAUCCUUAAUGGAUAUAUUGUAUGGAUUUUCUAAAAAGAACCGGAGUCACACAUAAAUCACACCUCUUGAUUAACCCUUUUAUCAUUAUUAGUCUGUCAACAUCAGCAAAGACUAACUAUUGAAAAAUUCAAUCAUUUCAGUGUACUUACAGCUGAAUUUUCUCAUCAUGUGACCAACUAUCCACAAAGCCUCAGUGCCAUUAAGAAGUUUUGAGGAAUAUAUUAUUUGGUACUGCCAAAAAAACAUAAUUAAAAGAACGCAUGUAAAUUAUAUUUAUUUUCUAAUUCAAAACUUUUUUUUUAAUGAUUAUUUCACGUCUAAAGUACAUUUGGGGGAAAGGCAGAACUUACAUUAUCCCAAAAGGCAGGUUCCAGCACAACCCAUGAUACACUGACAGAAUUCACAGUAAGAAGGCACAGUAGGGUCACACAAACAGAACCCCGCACUACUGCAGAAUCUCCUUAAUUUCAAUAGGGCCCUACCCACAUAUAAUCAGUUACAGAGUCCGCCUAUGUGGGAGUAACAACAGUGAGCACGGGACCCGUUCCUCCACACACCUGCAAAACAAGAAUGCAGCGAACUGCCCUUCAGGUAGAUCCAUGCUUCUCUUCCAAUUCUGUGUUGUAUCUCCCAAAGCUUAAGAAAAGUUCAGUGAUACACAGCUUAGUAACAGAAGACUGACGUUAAGUUUAAAGAGUCAAUCUGUUCAGUGGGUUUUUCUGCUUUGUUUUUUAGAGAAUAAGCAUAAUGGCUAUUAAAGAAUCACCUUAAGAUCCUGCUACUGCUACCUGGCUUCAGAUCAUUAUUAUUAGAGAAUAAUUUUUUAAUAACGAGCAAGUCCCAGUUCCCUUUUUGAAAAAUGCCACCCACUGUGCUCUUCAUACCCUUCCUAUUGCUCUAGAGACAAAGAAUAGUCAGCGUGGCAAAGUUAAUAGAGAACUGGACAUUACAGGACAGGUUGGAAGGAAACAAUGUGAACGGGACCAGGAGUGAAAACGACUUAACAAAAAAGGGAUGGAAUAAAAGAAACAACGUUACUUUCUUAGCAGGGCAAUAAAAAUGGGAUUUUCAAAACCAUCCAACUUCUAUUGAAGUGAAAGAAUUACAUCAAUUCCAAAUAUGCUUUUAGAAAACCUUUAAGCCACUUAUCUUUAAGCAUUUAACUUUAAGCAUAUGGAGUAUCUAAACUCCGCUCAGCUAAACAACUGAAGUGCUUAAAUUUAAAAAACAAAUGUAAAUCAUCUUGAAAGCAUUCACCCCGUUUGUAAUACCAAGCUUGCAUACAGAUCUGAGCCCCAACUCCUUACCCUGCUUACAUGCUGACUCACACUUGGGCUGGAUCCAGCCUAUUGGUUCUCAGACAGGCAAACCCAAGUACAAAACGUGAGGGGCUAACGUGCAUUCAGACUUCUCUCUCACAAGCUGGACUCGUGCAAGUAUCGUGACUUAGGUACGAGAUUAAUUGUUUGGUGAAGCAGAGUGCAAAUGAUUAAAUGCUUCGAGUUAAUUCGGGGGAGAGGGUCUCAGAAAGAAAACUAAAGAAAGUGCCCGAGGAAGAAAAAAGAAACUGAAAAUUAAAUCUGGAUUAAAAAUAAAUGACCUCUGGGUUAUAUCUCAGUGCACUCUGCCUGAAAACCACUGCUUCUUUUUGGCUUAAGUAUCAAAUCUCAUUUUUAAAUAUGCAAAAUGGUAACUAACUCAGACAAAGGUUAAAUUAGUUCAGUGUUUGCUGACAGUACCGCAGUAAUCCUUAACACAGAGCAUCACUCGGUUAUUGGUGUAAAGGGCUCGCCAUUCCUUCUGCCUUACAAACACACCCGCGCUUCCAGUCCUGCUUUGGUAAAGAGCAGGGUGAGGGUUAAUACCCAAUAUUCCAAUCUCUGUGGUAGCAGCCAUAAAGGGAGGAGGAAAUGUGGAGAUCGUAAGCUGCUAGUGGGGUUCUGUCCCUUUUACUCCUUACUCUACAGUGCAGUUGCUAAAGGAAAACAUAAAUUGAGCCACUGAAAUCAAAACAGUGAACCAACAAAGUUCAGGGACAUCUCUUGGCAUCCUGUGAACUUCUGGUCAUUGUGAUCUGCCUCCUAAACUGUGGAUCAUUGUAUACACCGUUAUUUUAAGCUGUCACCUCUCAAAACUACCAGGAAGCCAGUACCAGUGCUUAACAGCUACAUUCUCAUGUCCUCUCCCACUACUAAUAUCCCACCCUUCACCUACAGCUAUAAAAAAGGAAAUUCUCUCUAUUUAAAAUGCGUGCUUAAUAAUCCCAUACGUGUAAAAAUCAUGACUCCGUGUUGGUACGGAGCUAGAGCAAGGUUAAAGACCUGACUAAGGCAGUGAGUUACUGAUAGAAUUAGUUCCUCUCCAGAUUCAG
ensembl:lncRNA